AUUGAACGCUGGCGGCAUGCCUUACACAUGCAAGUCGAACGGCAGCACGGGGCAACCUGGUGGCGAGUGGCGAACGGGUGAGUAAUGCAUCGGAACGUACCUUUCAGUGGGGGAUAACGUAGCGAAAGUUACGCUAAUACCGCAUAUUCUGUGAGCAGGAAAGCAGGGGAUCGCAAGACCUUGCGCUGAUUGAGCGGCCGAUGUCAGAUUAGCUAGUUGGUGAGGUAAAGGCUCACCAAGGCGACGAUCUGUAGCGGGGCUGAGAGGAUGCUCCGCCAGACGGGAACGGAGACACGGUCCAGACUCCUACGGGGGGCAGCAGUGGGGAAUUUUGGACAAUGGGGGCAACCCUGAUCCAGCCAUGCCGCGUGAGUGAAGAAGGCCUUCGGGUUGUAAAGCUCUUUCGGCCGGGAAGAAAUCGCACGGGCUAAUACCCUGUGUGGAUGACGGUACCGGAAUAAGAAGCACCGGCUAACUACGUGCCAGCCGCCGCCGUAACAC
rnacentral:rRNA from 1 species